GGUGAACGCUGGCGGCGGGCCUAAUACAUGCAAGUCGAGCGAAAGGACGAGGAGAGCUCUCCUCUGCCGUUAGCGACGGGCGGGUGAGUAACAAGUAGAUAACAUACCUAUUAGACUGGGAUAAAUACGGGGAGACGGAGACACUACCACAGCAUAUAUCGAACGGCAUGGAUCAAUAGAGCAUGGCAGUUUGGCUGUCUCUAAUAGAUGAUUCCGCGCCGCAUUAGCUAGUUGGUAAGGGAACGGCAUACCAAGGCGACGAUGCGUAGCUGAUCUGAGAGGAUGAUCAGCCACACUGGAACUGAGACACGGUCCAGACUCCUACGGGAGGCAGCAGUGGGGAAUAUUGGACAAUGGGCGCAAGCCUGAUCCAGCAAUGCCGCGUGGGUGAAGAAGGUCUUCGGAUCGUAAAGCCCUUUUAUUGGGGAAGAACAGCUGUGUAUUAAACCAUGGCCGUCCUGACGGUACCCAAAGAGAAAGCCACGGCUAACUUCGUG
rnacentral:rRNA from 1 species